rnacentral:lncRNA from 1 species
CUGAUUAACACCACUUCUUGAAUAUGCCGUUUCGGAAUAUUUUUAAAGUCCUUCUUUGACUGCAGUGAGUAUGGCAGUAAGAACUUUAGAAAGGGGUUUAGUGGAACACUUGAAAGAACCUGCAAUAUACCUUUCCUUAUAAGGAUCCUUGUGAAGCUUAGGAGUCCAAUAAAAGGAUGGAAGAUCCUGGUCUUCUGAAUCAUCCUUUGGAUUAACACCAAAGGAGAUUAGAACCGAUUUGUGGUUUUCCAGGAUCUCCUGCUUCGUAAGCGUACUUAGUGUAUAUGUAGGAUUUCCAAGUGUGUUAUUUAUCCCCAGUUCCUUAAUCAGGCAGUCAAUGUAGUGUUUCUUGCAAACAAAAACAAUGUUGUUUGAGGCUUU